AAUCUCUGAGCUGUCCGAGGAUAAAGCUGUGUCACAGACUAAUCGGUUGGCAGAUAAAGUCCAUCUUACAAUUUGGAUAUAUCGAUGAAGUGUACUUUAAUUCUGAGAUUCCAGCUCCAUUGGAACAAGACACGUCUACCUCUACUAUGAAAGGUGUAGCUUUCGCUCACUUCGUCAGAAUCAAUUGCAGCGUCAUUACAGUCAAAGGCAUAAAUUAACAGUAGAGGAGCUAAGGAGCUCCACAAUUCUAAGUUUGUGGAUCAGAGAGAUAAGUACAUGCCUAUCCUGAAGGUUUCACCUGAAAUGGCUCUUCGUCAAGAAGAGGCUGGAGCUUGGCAUUAGGUAGAAUCAUGCCAGUUUGUCACUAGUGACGUCAUCUCACAGAAUGUCACUGCCCAAGGACCAGGAGGUGAUACCUCUGUUCAAUUCUGUGUAGAGAAGAUUGGUAAUGGUCAAGAAAACUGUGAUAAGUUCUUGGGGGAGGGGGUUUCAUAUUUAGAUUGCAGAAAUAUAUUCUGUUGUUUUUAACUUGACAUCUUUAACAAAAUAUGUGGAUUUAUAAUUCUAGUACCAUAUAAUUCAAGAUGAAACUAUCCUCAUGAUUCAACUAGUGGUAAUUUAGUGUGUAACAGAUAAACAUAUCAAGUCAUGAUUUCAGUUCAAUAAAAUUGUCAUGUAUUAAUUGUGUAGCAAUAGAAUUCAUUUAUCAUGACUUAGUAAUGAAUUCUUUCCACAAGAUAUUUUUAUGAGAUACUUUGGCUAUAUAUUUUUGUAAGUUGAUUUAAAAUUGUUAAAUUGAUUUUACUUGUGGUUUAUGCAAUGUAACUGUAUAAAUUGUAGAAUUCUUUGUUUAUUAUUAUUGUGAUGAAAUGCCACAUUGAUGUAGUUGUGUAAGAAGUGCUUUGAUUUAAGUGGCAUUUUAAAAUUUAUUGUCCCUUCGUGUUACAAGUCGCCGAGGGUAUAUAGGGAUCUGCCAAUACUUGCCAGUACGUAAGUACAGUAAGUAUGUACUUAAAGUACGUAAUUUAUUUGCUAGGACAUAAUUUCAAACUAUGCCUGAUAAUUUCAUCAAACUUCAUACACAUCAAGACCACAUCGAGGUGGAGUGCAGUGUGCAGGAACUGUACCCUUGCUUCCGUUAUUCCUCUUUGUGAAAAAAAGAUUUACCUACAAAAAAUGAUCUUACAUCAAGUUUUCCUACAGAGGAUAUUAAAAUGCAGCAUUCCAAGAACAAUAACUUUUUCUACGGUUUUUACACUUCGGCUUUCACACUUCAGAGUUAUUCGUCUUUGUGGAAAAGUUACUCACAUCAAGUUUUUCUACAGAGGAUAUGAAAACAGAGUACAGUAUUCAAAGUUGGGUGGGUAAGCUAUUGUAAAUUAUUUCUUAACAGACACUGAAAUGCAAAAUUUUCAUUUUUAGCUCGUCGCUUCGAAGAAGAGGGAGAGCUUAUGUUGUCACUCCGGUGUCAGCUUUGGCGUUGGUUUUUCAAAUGUAAAGUUUUUGUCGUUGAUAGGCAUAGUAAUUUAUGGUAAUAUGGUCCCUGUGAGGGCUAAACUAUUCCCUGCCGGAGUUAAACUAAAAGAUUUUUUUGGGAAAAAAACAGAUUCUUCAAAAAUUUGGAAUAUUUCUGCAUUAAGUUUUUGGUGCAAGUUUUGCUUUUAUUAACACAUCAUUUUAUAAAAUAGGGUGCUGAUAUUUGGCAAUAGAGUCCCUCUGGAGUAAGACUAUCCCUUUCUGGAGUUAAAAUAAAAAAUUGGAUUUUUUCUGAAAAAAAAAAACAAUGUGAAAAAUGCUCACAAACAUGCAAGACAACUGAUACUGUUCCACAAUUUUUCAAGGGAGACAACUCUCAUUAGGAUAAGUUUUAUCAAAAAUUAAAAUAAAUAAGUUUAUUAUUUAAUAUAUUUAUUCAAUUUACAACAGCAUGCAUAGCUUGUUUCCCGAAUGUUUGUCAAUAAACAAUUUACAUAUAUAUAUAUACAUAAAUUGUAUGAAUACAAAAUACACAAUCUGAUCAAGUAAACAAUAUAGAUAUUACUGAGAAACCAUACCAAUUAAUAUAUUUUAAUUAUAUAUUGACAAGCAUUCGAGAGACAAGCUGUGCUGUUCUCCAACAGCUCCUGUUAUAUCAGUUUUUGACAUUACUUGUACUCAGCACAAUAAUGACUUAUGUAGCAUUGAGUCCUGAUAAAUUGGUUGAUAAAUUGUUUGAUACAUAAUAGCACUUUCAUUGAUGUCACUUAAUAUAUGUUCACAUCUUUUCUUCCACACUAGGAGUUCAAAUACAAAUGCAGUUGAAUACCAAUUUGUUGUUAAUAAAACAGAUCACAUUCCACUUGUGUCAGCCUGUUCAAUUCAUAAUUCACGUUCAUUAAUUGUCAGAGUUUGCCAUGAGGGGAUUAGUAUUGUUCCGGGAUGCCUUGUUUUUACAUAAAAACAUUACACAUGUUCAUAUAUAUGUGAUGUUGGUGUGUUGGGUACAUUAUUUUUUAUACUUAUUGUUUAUAGAGUGAAUGAGUAGGUUGUUAUAUGUAUAUAGAUGUCUACUUAUGUAAAUGACAUUUUCCUUCAAAGUCAUAUUUAUUUGGAAAUGUGUAUGAAGAGCUUUGUAAAUGUGUGAGAUUUGAAUUAUUAAAUUUGUACUUUUUGGUUGCAAA